rnacentral:lncRNA from 1 species
GUCACAGAAAAAGGCACUGGACAAGUAAAGUUUCAGUUUAAGAAGCCAAAUCCUUCCUUAGAUCCCAUAUACACAACAAUUCUACACUGUUUGAAUUCCACCCACCAGCGAGAAUCAGAGGACGAAUAGUCUCAGUUUCACUCUCAACUUGUUCAUUCCACUCAAACUGAGAAGUCAACACAAUGAACAUAAGAACAAACAAAAGCACCUGUGAUCUCGUUUUAAAGGUAAAAUGGUCUUUAUUUGAUGGGAGUUUUUAAUCUGCUACAUAACAAAACACCAAACACCACAACUCAAAAUCACAAACUAACAAGUGUAGAUAAGGAUCCAAAUCACAAUAAUCUUUGAACAUUCUAUUUACAAGAAGAAGUGUAGGAAAGGAUUAAACUUUCACAUUCCAAAAACUCAGAAUCAAGCCAACAAGAUUCCUGAAGAUUUCUACUUCCAUGGUUCCAAAUUAUAAAAAAAAUCCACAUCCAGAACUAUAGAUUAGAUAAGAACAAAUACGGAAGAUGUGUUAAGGUGUAUACAGAUUUUAACAUUCACCAGUCUGAAAUCUGAAAUCUGAAAUCUGAAAUCUGAAAGCAUGAAUCUACUUGUGGAUCUCUUCGUGUUUUUGCUUCAAAAUG